rnacentral:rRNA from 1 species
UACGGGGGGGGUAAGCGUUGUUCGGAAUUACUGGGCGUAAAGGGCUCGUAGGCGGCCAACUAAGUCAGACGUGAAAUCCCUCAGCUUAACUGGGGAACUGCGUCUGAUACUGGAUGGCUUGGAUCCGGGAGAGGGAUGCGGAAUUCCAGGUGUAGCGGUGAAAUGCGUAGAUAUCUGGAGGAACACCGGUGGCGAAGGCGGUGCUCUGGGCCGAAACUGACGCUGAGGAGCGAAAGCGUGGGUAGCAAACAGG